UACGUAGGGUGCGAGCGUUGUCCGGAAUUACUGGGCGUAAAGAGCUCGUAGGUGGUUUGUCGCGUUUGUCCGUGAAAACUCACAACUCAAUUGUGGGCGUGCGGGCGAUACGGGCAGACUGGAGUACUGCAGGGGAGACUGGAAUUCCCGGUGUAGCGGUGAAAUGCGCAGAUAUCGGGAAGAACACCCGUGGCGAAGGCGGCUACUCUGGGACGG
rnacentral:rRNA from 1 species